AACGAACGCUGGCGGCAUGCCUAACACAUGCAAGUCGAACGAGACCUUCGGGUCUAGUGGCGCACGGGUGCGUAACGCGUGGGAACCUGCCCUUAGGUUCGGGAUAACUCCCCGAAAGGGGUGCUAAUACCGGAUAAUGUCUUCGGACCAAAGAUUUAUCGCCUUUGGAUGGGCCCGCGUUGGAUUAGCUAGUUGGUAGGGUAAAAGCCUACCAAGGCGACGAUCCAUAGCUGGUCUGAGAGGAUGAUCAGCCACACUGGGACUGAAACACGGCCCAGACUCCUACGGGAGGCAGCAGUGGGGAAUAUUGGACAAUGGGCGAAAGCCUGAUCCAGCAAUGCCGCGUGAGUGAUGAAGGCCUUAGGGUUGUAAAGCUCUUUUACCCGGGAUGAUAAUGACAGUACCGGGAGAAUAAGCUCCGGCUAACUCCGUG
rnacentral:rRNA from 1 species